rnacentral:rRNA from 1 species
GCUACGGGUGGCAGCAGUGAGGAAUAUUGGUCAAUGGACGCAAGUCUGAACCAGCCAAGUAGCGUGCAGGAUGACGGCCCUCCGGGUUGUAAACUGCUUUUAGUUGGGAAUAAAAGGGGGCUCGUGAGCCCCGUAUUGUAUGUACCAUCAGAAAAAGCAUCGGCUAACUCCGUGCCAGCAGCCGCGGUAAUACGGGGGAUGCGAGCGUUAUCCGGUUUUAUUGGGGUGAAAGGGUGCGUAGGCGGAAUGCCAAGUCAGCGGUAAAAUCGCGGGGCUCAACCUCGCUCCGCCGUUGAAACUGGCGGUCUUGAGUGGGCGAGAAGUAGGCGGAAUGCGUGGUGUAGCGGUGAAAUGCAUAGAUAUCACGCAGAACUCCGAUUGCGAAGGCAGCAUACCGGCGCCCAACUGACGCUGAAGCACGAAAGCGUGGGUAUCGAACAGGAUUAGAUACCCCUGUAGUC